UCAAAUAAAAAUGUCUUAAUAAGCUUGCUUCUCUUCUUCAUGUUGCCUCUCUUCAAUGGAUACCUCGAAGUACCCCCGCCGCCGUGCCGCCGUCGCCGCCGCGCAUCUCCCUCUCCUUGCUUAUCUCCGGCGUGUUCUUCUUUGUCGGUGCCAUCGGGAUCGUCUUCGCCAUUGUCGUGCUCCUUCGCCCCCCGAGGACACGCUUAGGAACUUCCGGUCAAGAUCUAGCGUUGGUGGCGGUGCUGGGUUGGAGGAUCGGCCGAAGCUGCUGGGUUUCGUCGGGGUGCAGACGGGGUUUGGAUCCGCUGAUCGUCAGGCUGCGCUUCGGAGCACUUGGUUCCCUUCCGAUCCGGAGGCUCUAGCUCGGUUCUUUCAUCGCCGGAGUCUCAUGGUAUUUCUUAUAUACUAUGUUAUCUGAUCAGUGGCUGCGGUCUUGCGUACAGGAACAAUUAUUGAGAACUUGAUUGCCUGGAGUAUUUGAAUCAGGCAAUGGGGCUAGCAACAACAUGCUUUCCAUCGGUCCACUCCAAUUGAUGGGGCGAAAGUAGUUGAGUUCUCAAUUGUUUGUUGGUAAAGAGAAGGUAUCACCUCUUUCUUGAGUUCUCAAUUCAUGUGUAGGCAUGGAAUUCUCCGGAAUUUAAAACUCGGUGUGAGAAAGCUACCGCAAACCGACUCACGGAGAUUGCAGGACCUGGAUCUGGUAUAUCCCGACACACAUGAGGUUCCAUUUCUCAUGCUUCCCAUGCGGAUAGAUUGGUAAUUUGUUUAAUAUUUAUAUAAAUGUGCUUUUAAAUUAUAAAGAAUUUGUUUGGUGCUAAUUGUAACAAAAUUCAAUUUGUUGUAUUAUUCUAGUUGGCGAUCAUG